rnacentral:rRNA from 1 species
CAGAACGAACGCUGGCGGCGUGCUUAACACAUGCAAGUCGAACGCGAAAGGGACUUCGGUCCUGAGUAAAGUGGCGCACGGGUGAGUAACGCGUAGAUAACCUGUCUUCAUGUCUGGAAUAAUACGCCAAAGGGGUACUAAUACCGGAUAUUCUUGCUUUUCAUAAGUUAUGCAAGCAAAGGUGGCCUCUGCAUAUGCUACUGCAUGAAGAGGGGUCUGCGUACCAUUAGCUAGUAGGUGGGGUAAUGGCCUACCUAGGCGACGAUGGUUAGCGGGUCUGAGAGGAUGAUCCGCCACACUGGCACUGGAACACGGGCCAGACUCCUACGGGAGGCAGCAGUGAGGAAUAUUGCGCAAUGGGGGAAACCCUGACGCAGCGACGCCGCGUGAGUGAGGAAGGCCUUCGGGUCGUAAAGCUCUGUCAAGAGGAAAGAAGUGUACAAUGGCUAAUACCUGUUGUAUUUGACGGUACCUCUAAAGGAAGCACCGGCUAACUCCGUGCCAGCCGCCGC